rnacentral:lncRNA from 10 species
AAAAUGAGGAAGCCAAGGGCAGAAAGAUGGAGUAAGACCCUUUCUUUUGGCUUCCUUAGCAAGGACAAAACCUGAAUCAAGUUCAGGAUGACAGGAGGCGAGGGGCCCUGGUCAGGCAGGCUGUCGGGAGUUAGCAGCAACUCAGAAUUCCUCCAGAGCAACCAUUCCUGUCACUUACAGAGAACCCUGGGGUUGCUUCCCAGGGAUAGGGAAUUUCUCGGAAGCUUAGGACACUUUGUUCCUAAGUAAAGCUCUGACGGAUUGGUAGGAAGAAUGCAGCCUUUUUUCCUUUAAAGACAAAAAGACCCUGAAUUUAUCCUCACAUCCAAAAGCCAAAGCUGAGAUCCAAGGUGGAUCUCCCACCCUCACACAAAUGCAGAGUCAGCAUCCAAAAAGGGCAAAGUCAACACUGCAGAGGCCGAUGGGCAAUUCCUGGAGGGUGAUGCCCCUGAGUUAGGACCAGAGGCUGGAAGCACCAACAUAUGGUAAGUGGAAUACCCAAGGGGAUCAGGACUGAGCAUCUGGACCAGACUGAUGAUCCAGGGCUGUGAGACACUCUUCCUUCUCUCCCUCCAACGAGAGCGUCAGGACAGCCUCAGCUGGUUGAGGACAGGUGUGCGCCCAGCGUCAGAAGUCUUAGCUCCAGUGCAGCCACGGCUGCUUCCUAUCAUGUAACGCUGGGCACUUAACCUCCCUGCGCCCCACCAUCCUCACAGUGUCCUCAGCAUUCAUUGAGACAAGCCGUGUCAAAGCCUCUCAGAAUCCAUCAGAGGUCACACACGCAAGCGCCGCUGUUGUGUUUCCUUUGUUUUCAGCAUCCAGCAAAGAAACAGUCCCCCAUGGAACAGCAUAAACCUCCAAGGGGAGCUUUGGUUUUUGCAAAAUAGAAAGAGUCCUUUUAAUAGCUCAAAUGCAGCACCUUUCAGCCAGAGAGAAGCCAGCAGGCUUAUGUUCUGAGAGCUGGAUUUUUCCAUUUGGGGGCAUCGGGGUUUAUUUGGAAAGAGAAAACACUGGGCUCGACUUCAAGCAUCCUCAUUUUACACGCCUGGCUCCAAGUAAUACAUUGUUUCAGUUUGACUUGCUGGCCUCCUUAGCCCAAAACAGGCUGAGCCGUACCACAGAAGGGAGAGAACACUGCGGAGGCAGAAAGGGAGAGAGUGGGUAAGGUAUUUCCUGUCAUGAAAUCCAAUCGGAUGGAACUUUCAGCAGGAAAAGCAACACCUCCGAGGCCCACUUUUAAAAGGGGAACAGGGGAGAGAAAAGAAAGAAAAGAAACCUCUUGUGUUUGGCCCACGAAAUGCCAAGAUCUUAUUUGUCUGAGUUUUGGGUCAGAAGCCAGUGAAGGAACAUGGGGCUGCCCUCAAUUUGGUGGCAACAGGAAAAAGAUGGGGCUUGGAUUUUGCAGAGCAAAAAGAAAUAGGGCUGAGGUUUCUCAUCUCCUUGUCUUCUUUCUUGGGGAGGGAAAGAAGAAAAAUAGAGCCAGGCACAGUGGCUCACGUCUGUAAUCUGAGCACUAUGGGAGGUCCAGGCGGGAGGAUUGCUUGAGGCCAGGGGUUCGAAAAAAACCAGCCUGAGAAACAUAGCAAGACCCCAUCUCUACAAAAAAUUAAAAUUAGCUAGGUGUGGUGGUGCACACCUAUAGUCCCAGCUAUUUGGGAGGCUGAGGUAGGAGGGUCGCUUGAGCCGGGGAGUUUGAGGCUGUAGUGAGCCGUGACCAUUCCACUGUACUUCAGCCUGGGCAACAUCCAAGACCCUGUCUCUAAACAAAGAAAGGAACAAAAGGCUCUGAGCUGGGAAGGACUGUUGAUCAGUUGUUGUACGCUGCUACCAGCUGGCAGGCUGGCUCCCCUCACUAAGGGAGCAUAAGGGAGGAUUGCACACAGAGGUGAGAGAAUGGAAGGGCCAGGCGUUCAAGGUCGUGAGGUUGAAGUCUAGAUCAACCCACUAAACCUGGGAAUGGCCUAGCCCAGCCGUGGCCCUCUCCUCCUUCUGGGUGAGACGGACAGACAGGAACAGGUAAGAGAGUCAAAAUAAGAAGGCAGUGAUGGUGGCUUUCCUAAACCUCUGUCUGAAGCUGAGGCACUAAGAAAAAAUGUUGAUUUCUCAGCACACUUGAGAGAGGAGCAAGAAGUGAGAUUCUGAACAAGAGAGGAGGAAUUUCUCCACGUUUGGGUUGAACAUGAGGUUCUGGUGGUGCCCCUCAACGCUGAUCUUAGAAUCGGUGAUUUGCAAAGGAUGCUCCAGCCCCAAAAGAUUUAGGGGAAUUCAGAGAAUAUUCGCCCUUUCUGGAUGGGUACGUAGACAUGCUGGAACCACACCUCCUCUGAGGACAGUCUCUAUCAGCAACAGUGUUGAUGUUACAGACACAAAGUCUGGUCUAAAGUGAACUGAUCCACGGAGAAAGGUAGGAAAGAAACCGCCCGUUUAUCUCGUCAGGGUGGAGAGUCGAGAAGAGGGGAGAGCUCUGUCCAACAGCUGCCCCUGAGGUCCUUGGCAGGAUUUAAUUUAAUUCCCCCCAGGACAUCCUGGGAUUCCAGUGAGGGCAUCUGGAGGGAAGCCGUCACAGCCGGAGCGACCGUCACUAGGGGCAGCGUCCCUCCGGUGCCGGGAGCGCGCCAAGCUGGUGUUCCUGAAUGCUUGGUCCAAUUGUGUGUGUCUCCGAGGCCGUUGUGUGUGCAGGACCUCACUCCAGUGACCCACACUCCACUUGGCGGUGUCCACAUCAGCAGGACGUUCACCAGCCUGAAGAGAAGUGGGCACUGUCCCCAGAGGGGGACACCAUGAAGACCUGGGUUUUCCCUCUCUCACUCACUUACAGAAGCUUCCAAGCCACUAUGAAUGGAAACGACUCUCCCUGGCUCUCAGCUGUGUGCUGAGACACUUACAUACCAUUAUUGAGUCUUCACAAUACCUCGUAAAGGGUCCUGCCAUCUUCCUACAUUAGUUUGCUCCCAUAGCCAAGCACCAGACUGAACAGCUUCAACUACAGAAAUGACCUCCUCACUGUUGUGGAAGCUACAAGCCCAACAUCAAGAUGUCCGCAAGGCUGGUUCCUCCUGAGAUCUCCCUCCUUGGUAAAGGACUUAUGGUUGAAAGAGGAGGAGGUCAGGAAGAGGAGGAAGGCAGAGAGGGAGGGCAAGAAGAGGAUGGACAGAGCCAAAGAGGCAAGAGGGGUGCAAAGGCAGAGAGGAGGAGAGAGGUGAGAGGAGAAAGAGAGACACUGCACUCUACCACUGGGUCACAUAUGACACACUUGGGAGCGACAUUUCUUGGUGGAGCACGUGAGGCAGCCUGCUGAUGCUGGCUUUGGUCCUCUUUGCUCUAGUCUGCAUCUAUCAGUGGCUUCCAACCAGUCUGAAUUAAAACGUAUCUCCAAGAAGCCGCUUGGAUGAGCGGAUUUUCUUUUGAUUAUUUAUUCUGGACCCACACCCAGUGGAAAAAAUGCCUUCUACGGCAUUCACCUCGGCUCCAGGGCCUGUUUUAUUGGGAGAGCAAUUGAAAAUGAUAGCAGCAUUACAUGCAAAUUCUACUUGGCAGCUCUCUGACUCCAAGGCAGCGGGGCUCCAUAUUCCAUAUGUCCGGCCACGUGCAGGGAGCAGCUGCCCAGGUGCAGGCCUGGGCUCCCGGGGUCUGAAUCCACACGGCGAAGAAGCUACUGGGUUUCUUCGUUGUUUUCCAGUCAUGAGGUGGAUUAUCCAAAAAGCUCCUGGACCGACUUCCAGCAACACCGAUCUGAGAAGAUUAGUUCCAAAUUCCUCAGCACAAGGUGAAACAUUUGAAUGUUCUCAGCAGAAACUAGUUUUACAUGACUUAAAAGAACACAGGCCAUGGUGACCCAGGGGCUCCGUGUCGUGAGCAAUGAAAAAUAUUUAUUCCAAAGCUCCAUUUCUCAUUUAAAAAAAAAAAUGCUUUUAAGCCUAAGGAGACAUACAUUUCCCUGACAGUGUGGAACAGAAAAAGGCAGCAGUACCCAGCCUUAGCUCUCAGAUCCUAUCCGCAAGGUAAAUAAAGCAUAAAUUAACCAAUUACAAUAAAAUACCAGAUAAAUGCCUUUGACAACUCUGAAUUUCCCAUGAAAAUGCUUCCAGCUGUGACCCCUGGCUUGCAAUGCACGGGCUGAAGGAGGCUGGAGUUUGUAUAUAAAGGAUGUUUCAAACACACAGUCCCAGACAAGGAAUCCUAUACUAUGGGCCAGCAGGAGCUGGGUCUCCAUCUUCAUGUCCCAUGGGGCCUCUGCCUCUCUCCGACAGAAUUGGAUAGAAGCAACCGUUUUAAAAGUCACUGGCAAGGAGAGAUAAGCCUGGAUAGUUCCAGCGCUUCCUAUUACUACACAUUAAUCAGAAAUCUGCUUUUCAUACAUUGGAAAUAGAAUCCUAAGGAUGAGGCCAAGAGAUUCCCAAGGGUAGCAACCUGGAUCUGGUGACAGUAAUGGUUCCCUGGACAGAGGACAAGAGGUGGAGAAGGAGCCCGAAGGGUGGGUGGGCCCGUAUUUCUUUCUUGUAAAUAAAGUUUUAUUGGCGCACAGCCAUGCUCAUGUGUUUACAUACUGCCUAUGGAUGCUGUCUGGAAGGGCAGAGUUUUGUUCUGACAGAGACCAUAUGGCCUGCAACACUGAAGAUGUCCACAACUUAUAACAUGGGGAGCCAAGAGACUGCCUGUCACGGCUGGAAUUGGAAAGGGACGUGGCAAGGCACAGUUGGAAGUUGCAGAGGAGGUUAAAGUAGCAAUACGGCCAGGCUGGCCCAGGCACGGCGGGGUGAUGAACAAUGGUGUGACAGCUCAAUCCUUACACCAUCUGACACCACUGUGCUAGCUACCUGUUCUGCAUAAAGAACCACCAUAGGCCAGGGCAGUGGUGCACGCCUGGAAUCUCAGCACUUUGGGAGGCUGAGGCAGGAGGAUCGUUUGAGGCCAGGAGACCAGCCUGGGAAACAUAGUGAGAUCCCAUCUCUAAAAAAAAAAAAUAAAAUUUAGCCAGAUGUGGUGACGCACACCUAUGAUCCCAGCCACUCGGGAGGCUGAGGCAGGAGAAUUACUUGAGCCUGGGAAUUCAAAGCUGCAGUGAGCUAUGAUUACGCCACUGUACUCCAGCCUUAGCAACAGAGCAAGACCCUGUCUCAACAACAACAACAAAAAUCAUCAGAAGACUAGGUAUAGUAUGGCUGGGUUCUGUGCUUAGGGCCUCACAAGGCAGAAAUUGAAGCUGCUCUGUGGUCUGAAGCAUGGAGUCCUCUUCCAUGGUCACAUGGCUGAGUCAGAAUUCGGUUCCUUGGGGCUGUAGGACCUCAGUCCUUGUUUCCUUGGUGGUUGUCAGCUGGGGGCCACCCUCAGUCCCCAGAGGCCACCCACAGCUCCUUGCCAUGUGGCCCCUCUAUCUUCAAGCCAGCAACAGGGCACCUCUCACACUUCAGAUCCCCCUUGUGCUUUGAAUCUUUGACCUUCUCCAUGGCUGCCCUCCAGCCGCAGGUGUAAAGCACUCCUGUGAUUAGGUCAGGCCCACUCAGGCCCACUCCCUAUCUUAAAGUCCAGUGAUCUGGGCUGUUAUCAGCUGCACCCAGAACCGUGUUUGAGAAGUGCACGGGAGCGGGGAGGUAGCUGUGCACCAGGGGCCAGACUCUGGGCCAUUUUAUAAUUCCGUCUACUACUCCAUCCUUCAUCGCAGCAGGUCAACAGACAAUAUCUGAGGCUGAUAAACUCCAAAUAACCACAGCAGCUGUCAUUCAGAGGCAUGGGGGCAACCUCCAGAGCCAAAGCCUAAAACUGCUCAAAGGAGGUUUUACCUUCAGGGAGCAGGCAGGAGCUGGAGGCGAGAGGUAGCGCGAGGAGCUGUGCCUUCACUAGACCACUAUUCUAGGCAGUUUGGUUUUUUUUUUUUUUUUAACUAUGCGCAUAUUUUACUAUGAUAAUGAUUGUUUAAAGAGUGCAAAGAAAAGAAAUCAGCCCUAUUGGACUUCUUGCCCUGGAGGUUCUUUUCUUGGGUUUCUCAUUGGUUAAAUCCCCUCUGCCUCCCUUAUUUUCUCUACUCCAAGAGUGCUUUUUCCUCCUCCAGACCCAUGCUCCAGCUCCCGCACCUCCCUCAGGCUCAGGUUCCCUGAUACCUUGCUCCCUCAGACAGGCCUUGUUCAUCCACCAUCCACAAGCUCUCUGUGUCCGUCUAGGCUGCCCCAGAAGCAGACACCGAGAUGAGAGAGUGAGUGCAGGUGUUUAUUGGGGAGGUGACCCCAGGAAGCACCAGCCAGGUUGCAGGGAGGGGAAGGAAGUCACUAAGGGUGUGUGUGCAGGCAAAUACCACUGAGGGGGCAACUGGAGCUCGGCCCCACCUAAUUCACACCCCGGAGUUAGCCCAACCACGGCUGAGGACACAGAUGUAUUUAUCGUUGUUGGUGGAGGCUGCGGCUGGGGCAUCAGCUCUCUGGCCUGCCACGUGCACACAAUGGGCGGCUGCAAAGGGAGCUCUCUGCCUUCCACACAUGGACAUGGGUGCCGAAGAGAACACAGGCAGCAGUGUACCUGCAGCCCCCAUCACCCUGUUCCCCCAGUCCAGCGUCACCUGGAACAGCCGUGGCACUAGGGUUUGUGGACCCCGGUAGUUAUUUCCUGUGGCUGCUGUCACAAAUGACCACAAACUGCAAAUUUAAAACAACAGAGCCUAGAAGUCCAAAUCCAGGUGUGAGCAGGGCAGGGCUGCCUCUGAAGGCUCGAGGGGAGGAUCUCUCCCCAUCCCUGCCAGCACAUCACUUCGGUGUCUGCCUCGGUUGUCACAUGGCCUUCUUUUCUGUGUGUCCAAAUUUCCUUCUUUUUAUAAAGACAAAGUCAUUGGAUCAGGGCCCCCACCAAACCCAUACAACCCCAUCUUAACUCAAUCACAUCUGCAAAGAGCCUAUUUCCAAGUAAGGUCACAUUUGCAGGUACCAGGGGUUAGGGCUCGACUGUAACUUGCAGGAGCACGCAAUUCAACCCACAAGCAUUGACUCGGGCCAGGCUCUAUCCUAAGUGCUUUAUACGCAUUCACUCAUUGAGGUCUCACACAGCACCCCAUGAGUAGGUACUAGUAUGGUCCCUGAUUUACAACUGAAGCCCAGAGAGGUGAAGUAAUUAGCCCAGGGUCACACAGCUAAUCAGUGGCAGAGCCCAAAACCCAAACCCCACCAGUCACACCCACCCCAGCUCUAACUACUGUGCACACUGCCUCUCCAGCUUCUCCUACCAGCUUCUCCUUCUCAGCCCUCAGUCCCUUUGUCUCCGUGCCUUCAACUUCCUUCCCCUUCUCAUCCAAACUCUUCAUUCGGUCAGUUCACAUACACAUUUGAAGGUCUUCCAGGUACCAGGUCCUGGGCGAAGUGCUAGGAAACUGCGCAAAAACAGGCCGGGCACGGUGGCUCACACCUAUAAUCCCAGCACUUUAGGAGGCCGAGGUGCGUGGAUCACCUGAGGUUGGGAAUUCGAGAACAUCUUAGCCAACACGGUGAAACUCCGUCUCUACUAAAAAU